GCACUGAUGGUUCAGUGGUAGAAUUCUCAACUUCCAUGUGGGAGACUCUGGCUCAAUUCUGGGGCAGUGCA
rnacentral:tRNA from 1 species